UCGAGUAGGCUAGAAAUACAUUCAACAAGUCUUAUUUUAGGUUAUGGUUGGCUGGGGGGCAAGGAGCUGAUUUCAAUGUGGAAAAGUGGGGGAAAAGCAGGUACAUUCACCCAGUACUUCGUAUUUGAUAAGCGGCUCUAUGAUGAAUAACUUCUGUCUUAUCAAUAGACUAAUCUUCUUGGCCAUUAUUAACGGGAUCGUUUUUGAGAUAAAAAUUAGAGGAAAAUUAUUUCUGCAGGUUGAGUAGCUCUAUUUAUAAUCGAGGAAGCAAAAAAUACAGUAAAAGAUAAAAUUAAUACAGAAUUCUGACGUUUUUAUGAACUUUUUAAUAAAUUUUUCCUACAACUCACUACAAAUUUCGAGUUUUUUUAGUAUAAUAGGCGAAAAGUGUGA